UACGGGGGGGGGCAAGCGUUGUUCGGAAUUACUGGGCGUAAAGGGCUCGUAGGCGGCCAACUAAGUCAUACGUGAAAUCCCUCGGCUUAACCGGGGAACUGCGUCUGAUACUGGAUGGCUUGAGUUCGGGAGAGGGAUGCGGAAUUCCAGGUGUAGCGGUGAAAUGCGCAGAUAUCAGGAAGAACACCCGUGGCGAAGGCGGCUCUCUGGGACGGUACUGACGGCUGAGACG
rnacentral:rRNA from 1 species